UAAGUUUUAAGUUAUACAAACUGCUAGCCUUCAAAGCUUUUUUAAAGAUCUAUCUUAAACUUAA
rnacentral:tRNA from 1 species